rnacentral:rRNA from 1 species
CCUACGGGAGGCAGCAGUGAGGAAUAUUGGUCAAUGGACGGAAGUCUGAACCAGCCAUGCCGCGUGCAGGAAGACGGCUCUAUGAGUUGUAAACUGCUUUUGUACAAGGGUAAACCUGAAUACGUGUAUUCAGCUGAAAGUACUGUACGCAUAAGGAUCGCCUAACUCCGUGCCAGCAGCCGCGGUAAUACGGAGGAUCCAAGCGUUAACCGGAUUUAUUUGGAUUAAAGGGUGCGUAGGCGGAUUGAUAAGUUAGAGGUGAAAUGUCCGAGCGUAACUCGGGAACUGCCUCUAAUACUGUUGAUCUAGAGAGUAGAUGCGGUAGGCGGAAUGUAUGGUGGAGCGGUGAAAUGCUUAGAGAUGAUACAGAACACCGAUGGCGAAGGCAGCUUACCAAUCUAUAUCUGACGUUGAGGCACGAAAGCGUGGGGAGCAAACAGGAUUAGAUACCCCUGUAGUC